GAUGAUUUUAAGUGUUUAAAUCAGUGCGGAAGAAUGAUGAAGCCAGUCUGCGGUAGUGAUGGGAAAGUUUACGCUAACGAGUGCUUAAUGAUUAUGAAGAACUGCGAAAAAAACAAAACAGUAAGCACAACUUUGAAGAAUAACAUGAACAACGAUAAAGAUUUAUGCAAAGAUUGCAAAUGGUCGUGUCCACAAAAUGUUACGAUUGUUUGUGGUUCUGACAACAUGACAUACGAUAACGAAUGUGAACUAAACAAGCAUGCUUGUAAAACUAGAACGGCAAUUAUAGUUGUGCAUAAUGGGAAAUGUUUGGAUUAAUGGAAAAAAAAUUAUUUUGGCGAUUAAUUGAGUUAAACCUCAAUCGAAAUCGGUUGAAAUAAAAUGUUCUAAGAUUUAUUUAAAAAGAUUUAUGUUGCAUUUUUAUAACUAAUACUCUUGAGCAUAAAAAAUUUUAUGGAGUAAAAUUUUUGUUUUUAUUAUCACCAAAAAGCUUUUUUAAAAGUAAAAAAAAUAAUUUUAUAAUUUUAUAAUAAAAAAGAAAUAAAUAGUAUUCAGUCUAUGUUACUAUCA
rnacentral:lncRNA from 1 species